rnacentral:rRNA from 1 species
CAGUAGUCACGAGUUUGACUCCUGGCUACAGAACGAACGCUGGCGGCAUGCCUAACACAUGCAAGUCGAACGAGACCUUCGGGUCUAGUGGCGCACGGGUGCGUAACACGUGGGAAUUUGCCUCGGGGUAUGGAAUAACUCAGGGAAACUUGAGCUAAUACCAUAUAAUGUCUCCGGACCAAAGAUUUAUCGCCCUGAGAUAAGCCCGCGUAGGAUUAGCUAGUUGGUGGGGUAAAGGCUCACCAAGGCGACGAUCCUUAGCUGGUCUGAGAGGAUGAUCAGCCACACUGGGACUGAGACACGGCUCAGACUCCUACGGGAGGCAGCAGUGGGGAAUAUUGGACAAUGGGCGAAAGCCUGAUCCAGCAAUGCCGCGUGAGUGAUGAAGGCCUUCGGGUUGUAAAGCUCUUUUACUCGGGACGAUAAUGACGGUACCGAGAGAAUAAGCCCCGGCUAACUCCGUG